UACGUAGGGAGCGAGCGUUGUCCGGAAUCACUGGGUGUAAAGGGUGCGCAGGCGGGAACGCAAGUUGGAUGUGAAAUGUACGGGCUUAACCCGUGAACUGCAUCCAAAACUGCGAUUCUUGAGUGGAGCAGAGGUAGGCGGAAUUCCUAGUGUAGCGGUGAAAUGCGUAGAUAUUAGGAGGAACACCAGUGGCGAAGGCGGCCUACUGGGCUCUAACUGACGCUGAGGCACGAAAGCAUGGGUAGCAAAC
rnacentral:rRNA from 1 species